rnacentral:rRNA from 1 species
AGGGCGCACGGUGGAUGCCUUGGCACUAGAAGCCGAUGAAGGACGUUACUAACGACGAUAUGCUUUGGGGAGCUGUAAGUAAGCUUUGAUCCAGAGAUUUCCGAAUGGGGAAACCCAGCAUGAGUUAUGUCAUGUUAUCGAUAUGUGAAUACAUAGCAUAUCAGAAGGCACACCCGGAGAACUGAAACAUCUUAGUACCCGGAGGAAGAGAAAGAAAAUUCGAUUCCCUUAGUAGCGGCGAGCGAAACGGGAAGAGCCCAAACCAACAAGCUUGCUUGUUGGGGUUGUAGGACACUCUAUACGGAGUUACAAAGGACGACAUUAGACGAAUCAUCUGGAAAGAUGAAUCAAAGAAGGUAAUAAUCCUGUAGUCGAAAAUGUUGUCUCUCUUGAGUGGAUCCUGAGUACGACGGAGCACGUGAAAUUCCGUCGGAAUCUGGGAGGACCAUCUCCUAAGGCUAAAUACUCUCUAGUGACCGAUAGUGAACCAGUACCGUGAGGGAAAGGUGAAAAGCACCCCGGAAGGGGAGUGAAAUAGAACCUGAAACCGUGUGCUUACAAGUAGUCAGAGCCCGUUAAUGGGUGAUGGCGUGCCUUUUGUAGAAUGAACCGGCGAGUUACGAUUUGAUGCAAGGUUAAGCAGUAAAUGUGGAGCCGUAGCGAAAGCGAGUCUGAAUAGGGCGUUUAGUAUUUGGUCGUAGACCCGAAACCAGGUGAUCUACCCUUGGUCAGGUUGAAGUUCAGGUAACACUGAAUGGAGGACCGAACCGACUUACGUUGAAAAGUGAGCGGAUGAACUGAGGGUAGCGGAGAAAUUCCAAUCGAACCUGGAGAUAGCUGGUUCUCUCCGAAAUAGCUUUAGGGCUAGCCUCAAGUGAUGAUUAUUGGAGGUAGAGCACUGUUUGGACGAGGGGCCCCUCUCGGGUUACCGAAUUCAGACAAACUCCGAAUGCCAAUUAAUUUAACUUGGGAGUCAGAACAUGGGUGAUAAGGUCCGUGUUCGAAAGGGAAACAGCCCAGACCACCAGCUAAGGUCCCAAAAUAUAUGUUAAGUGGAAAAGGAUGUGGCGUUGCCCAGACAACUAGGAUGUUGGCUUAGAAGCAGCCAUCAUUUAAAGAGUGCGUAAUAGCUCACUAGUCGAGUGACACUGCGCCGAAAAUGUACCGGGGCUAAACAUAUUACCGAAGCUGUGGAUUGUCCUUUGGACAAUGGUAGGAGAGCGUUCUAAGGGCGUUGAAGCAUGAUCGUAAGGACAUGUGGAGCGCUUAGAAGUGAGAAUGCCGGUGUGAGUAGCGAAAGACGGGUGAGAAUCCCGUCCACCGAUUGACUAAGGUUUCCAGAGGAAGGCUCGUCCGCUCUGGGUUAGUCGGGUCCUAAGCUGAGGCCGACAGGCGUAGGCGAUGGAUAACAGGUUGAUAUUCCUGUACCACCUAUAAUCGUUUUAAUCGAUGGGGGGACGCAGUAGGAUAGGCGAAGCGUGCGAUUGGAUUGCACGUCUAAGCAGUAAGGCUGAGUAUUAGGCAAAUCCGGUACUCGUUAAGGCUGAGCUGUGAUGGGGAGAAGACAUUGAGUCUUCGAGUCGUUGAUUUCACACUGCCGAGAAAAGCCUCUAGAUAGAAAAUAGGUGCCCGUACCGCAAACCGACACAGGUAGUCAAGAUGAGAAUUCUAAGGUGAGCGAGCGAACUCUCGUUAAGGAACUCGGCAAAAUGACCCCGUAACUUCGGGAGAAGGGGUGCUCUUUAGGGUUAACGCCCAGAAGAGCCGCAGUGAAUAGGCCCAAGCGACUGUUUAUCAAAAACACAGGUCUCUGCUAAACCGUAAGGUGAUGUAUAGGGGCUGACGCCUGCCCGGUGCUGGAAGGUUAAGAGGAGUGGUUAGCUUCUGCGAAGCUACGAAUCGAAGCCCCAGUAAACGGCGGCCGUAACUAUAACGGUCCUAAGGUAGCGAAAUUCCUUGUCGGGUAAGUUCCGACCCGCACGAAAGGCGUAACGAUUUGGGCACUGUCUCAACGAGAGACUCGGUGAAAUCAUAGUACCUGUGAAGAUGCAGGUUACCCGCGACAGGACGGAAAGACCCCGUGGAGCUUUACUGUAGCCUGAUAUUGAAAUUCGGCACAGCUUGUACAGGAUAGGUAGGAGCCUUUGAAACGUGAGCGCUAGCUUACGUGGAGGCGCUGGUGGGAUACUACCCUAGCUGUGUUGGCUUUCUAACCCGCACCACUUAUCGUGGUGGGAGACAGUGUCAGGCGGGCAGUUUGACUGGGGCGGUCGCCUCCUAAAAGG